UAUUUGUUAUGCAGCAAGCCCAGAGAUUGUUGUGUACACUAUGACUUUAUGUAAAAUUAACUUUAAUGUGUGAUAUGAAUAAAAAGCGAUCAUAAAUAAUUUCUCAACUCAAAUGAGUGGUGGCUUGGACCCAGAAACAGUAUUAUUACGUACGUCACCACCUAACAAGCGGAUAGAGAGUUAAACUAUUUGCUUAAGUUAAAAAAUAAGCAUAUUUCGAUGUGGACACAUAUGCAUUAUGAAUUCUAAAAGAACAAAGUCUUUAAACGUUUUAAUAAAAAGAUGAUAGUAGUAAAUGUACAUACCCAAAACAUAUAGACCAUUUCAAUGUGCUCAUGUCAUUCGACUAUGAACAUUCCCUGCUUGUUAUCAAAGUAUUGAAUAACUGUAACAAGAGGUAAUUUAUUUAUAUCUUAAAUGUCAAAACAGCUUCCAUAAUAUUAUUUCUUAAUAUGUGGACCUUUUUGGAUUCCUGGGAGCGAUAUGGAAGAUAAAAAUGUAAUUCAGGAAAUACAUUAGGACCACUGUUAUUGUUUAACAUCGCUCAAAAUGGUCUAAAAAGUAAAGGGUGUGACCAUUAUAUUGUUUUAUUUACCUUAUAUCUAGUUGUUUAUGCUUAGUAGUAGUUUUGGUGUGUUUCUUCAUCUUUUUUGCCACAGGACUUCCACAAUUACAUCAGAAGUAUGAAGAUGACAUUCACAGUAAGUGAUACCAGGCUCUGAAAGCGACUGUUAUCUUAUUAAUAAAAUAAAAAGUUUUGAACAGGCGGCAUCAGUUCUUUAAAAACGCUGAGGGGAAGAUACAAGACGUUUUGGCGCGCUGAAAAUCCGGUCACGUGACUUACUUCUUCGCGGCAUUUGUUUGGCUUGUGGUGAAGACGCUGGGCUAGUUGUUCUAGCAGACAACAGGAAGAAAAAUAACGCCCUCUACAUGUAUAUUCACAAAAGCCCACGUCCCAAAACACACGAAAUCAUAAAGGUGUGA
rnacentral:lncRNA from 1 species